rnacentral:lncRNA from 10 species
AUUAACCCUCUAACCCAACUUAUUAUCUCUUUCACUAUCUUUACGGGAAAUCUCAUUACAAUAUUAAGCUCACACUGACGUCUCAUCUGAAUAGGCCUAGAAAUAAACAUACUAGCCACUAUCCCAAUUUUAACUUAAAAAGAAAAUCCACUCCACAGAAGAAGCUACCAAAUAUUUCCUCACACAAGCAACUGCAUCUAUAAUUCUCAUAAUAGGAAUCAUUUCCAAUAUGCUAUUCUCUGGACAAUGAACCAUCAUAAACUCAAUCAAUCAACUAUCAACCUUGAUAAUAAUAAUGAUCUUAAUAAUAAAACUAGAAAUGUCUCCUUUUCACUUUGGGUCCCUGAAGUA